rnacentral:rRNA from 1 species
UCGCCCUUAGAGUUGAUCCUGGCUCAGGACGAACGCUGGCGGCGUGCUUAACACAUGCAAGUCGAACGAGAAUUUUGAGAUGAAUUUUUCGAAAUGAUUCUUAAGAGGAAAGUGGCGGACGGGCGAGUAACGCGUGAGCAACCGGCCUUAUGCAGGGGGAUAACAUCGGGAAACCGGUGCUAAUACCGCAUAAGACUACAACAUCGCAUGGUGUAGUGGUCAAAAUGAUAGUGGCAUAAGAUGGGCUCGCGUCCAAUUAGCUAGUUGGUAGGGUAGAAGCCUACCAAGGCGACGAUUGGUAGCCGAACUGAGAGGUUGAUCGGCCGCAUUGGGACUGAGACACGGCCCAGACUCCUACGGGAGGCAGCAGUGGGGAAUAUUGCGCAAUGGGGGAAACCCUGACGCAGCAACGCCGCGUGAAGGAAGAAGGCUUUCGGGUUGUAAACUUCCUUGAUUGGGGAAGAAAUAGACGGUACCCAAAAAACAAGCCACGGCUAACUACGUGCCAGCAGCCGCGGUAACACGUAGGUGGCAAGCGUUGUCCGGAAUUACUGGGUGUAACGGGCGUGUAGGCGGGAGUGCAAGUCAGAUGUGAAAUUCCGUGGCUCAACCACGGGGCUGCAUCUGAAACUG